GACGAACGCUGGCGGCGUGCUUAACACAUGCAAGUCGAACGGAAAGGCCUGCUUUCCCUUGUGGAUUGCGGGUACUCGAGUGGCGAACGGGUGAGUAACACGUGAGUGAUCUGCCCCCAACUUGGGUAUAAGCCUGGGAAACUGGGUCUAAUUCCCGAUAGGACUGCAGGGUGGUGCCUGUGGUGGAAAACGAUUUUCUAGUGGUUGGGGAUGAGCUCGCGGCCUAUCAGCUUGUUGGUGGGGUAAUGGCCUACCAAGGCGGCGACGGGUAGCCGGCCUGAGAGGGUGGACGGCCACAUUGAGACUGGGCUACGGGCCAGACUGCUACGGGUGGCAGCAGUGGGGAAUAUUGCACAAUGGGCGGAAGCCUGAUGCAGCGACGCCGUGUGGGGGAUUACGGCCUUCGGGUUGUAAACUCCUUUCGACCGCGGGGAAGCCACCUGGUUGGAAGGGUGGUGACGGUAGUGGUAGAAGAAGCACCGGCUAACUACGUG
rnacentral:rRNA from 1 species